ACAGAAAUCCUACCAGUUUUUUUAUAUAGCUUAGGCUCUUAUUUCAUACUUGCUUGGUAAAGUCCAACAUAAUCAUCAUAAUGCUGUAAUGUUGUUGUACAGCAUGACAUUUGAGCCACCUUUGAGCACCUAAUUUUGUUUCAUAGGUGAGCAAUGUCGAUGGCCUAGAUUUAGCUGCCCAAUUGCAUGACCAAUAAGGAUCAAUCAUGUAGAGAAAAGGACAUAUAUGCCAACUUUGAGCACCUAAUUUUGUUUCAUAUGCGAGCAAUGCCGAUUGCCUUGAUCUAGCUGCCCAAUGGCAUGACCAGCUAGUUUCAAGCAUCUACAAAAACAGUAAGUUAUUGCCUUUAUCAACAAGAGAGGAAGAGGAAGAGGAAGAGGAAGAAGAAGAAGAAGAACCGGACGACUGCUGAGUAUAAGAGGUCUAGGUUAUCAAGGAACCGGACGACUGCUAACCGGGCUUAUGGUGGAGUUCUUUCUGGUGGUGCUGUAAGGAAAAGCAACGGUGGAGGAGGAUUAGGCCUUGGAUGGCCUAAAGGCAGUGCAUCCAAGAGAGGAGAUAGAGAAACAGAAAGCUCAUGAGCGAUAUAUGAAAUUGCAAGAACAGGGGAAAACAGAACAAGCUAAGAAAGAUUUAGGUAAUAAAUCAUGUCUUUUAGAAUUUCUAAUGACCUUUUCUUUAGUGGAUAAGUAAAGGGCUUCUUAUAACCUUUUGGGCUGCUUUGGUUCUUUACAUCUUGGUUAGCUUCCAAAAUUUUGGGCAUUCAAGUUGUUACCUGCAUGUUUUCUUCAAAUUAUAUGCUUGAUAUCAUCUGAACAUCAGUUACGUGACUAAUCCCUCACCGUCUACUCCCAUCUCUUUCUUGGUCUAUUAUAAACUAGUUGACAAGCCUUGUGAUUUAGCAGUUAAUAUGUACCUUGGUAUAUAAUUGAAAAGCUUAAGUAAUUUUAUAUUUUGGAUUGUGUAUUACCAUGGCAAUCAAAUUCUUAGCCAAAGUCAUGUAACCUUUGCCAAAGAAACUUCUGUCUGCCUACCCCUGUCAAAUGUAGAACAGUAUUUAGGUAAUAAAUCAUGAUAAAUUACUCCUUUUCACUUUUAAUUGUCGGUUCUAAGUGGUGGUGUGUGUAAUGUAGGUUAUGGAUAUUAUUUUUAAAGAUACAGAUAAAACUUGGCUUGUAAAAUUAUUUUUUUCAUCAAAUUACAAAUACUUUUAUUACCUCCUCCUUUCAUGCUUCUAUGUUGCUUAAAAUUGACUGAAUCUUGAUUGCUGAUUGACUAAGAUUAAAUAGAAAGUUGCACUCUUCUACUCCAUGAGGAGGUAUAUAGUUGUUUGAA